UCCAACCCCUUUCCUUUAAAUUCAGCUUGGUUUUAUUUUAAUUUGCUUUAAUUUCGUGUAUUUCAUGUUGAUCUUUGAAUUAAGCCAUCUUCUUUUGGGCAUUGCAUUGAAGCUUUGCCUUAUCUUUUGCUUUAAGGUUUUCUGGAAACCCAAAAAAGAGAGAGGGGGGAAGGAGGUCUACGAUUCAAUGCCUAAACUCUUUCAACAAUGCUUUGAUGAUUUGAUAUCUAUGGGCUCAUAAAAUGGAGUGAUUUUAUAAUGCAUAUCCACGUAAAGUGGCAACCUUAGCCCUUGUUCAGUUUGCUGUGGAAGUAUCUCCAAUGUGGUCAGCCAAACACCAAGGACUUGCCAGGUUCUAGAACAAAUACAAGUUCUGUCAAGGAAAUUGCUUUGAUCUGCAAGUUUGGUUGCAGGAUUACGUCCACCUUUAGCCGGGUCACAAUUUUUUUCAACAAUAAGACUGUUGGCCAUCUUAGUGGGAGUUAGUAAGUCCAAGGGAUUCUCUGGCCUGUAUUGGGAACAGUGGCUGAGUGGUUGUUGUUCAUUGGUAUCAGCUUUGUUUGAAGUGUACUUUUUAAUAUUACAAUUCUUCUCUAGAAUUCUAAUAUUAACCUCCUUAAAAAAGGAA